UAAUAUAGUAGAUCUCUAUUUAUUUGUAAAAGAUUGAUGUUUUGUGUUUUAGAAAAAAAUGUAUUUGGACUAUGAGUAGAAUUAUUGGUUAAGUUAUAACUGUUUAUUUAGCUGGUGGUUACUGGACAUCUUUUCCAGUCAUUAUUCUCAUCCAGAUCAGUUGCGAUUUUUUAGUUUACUAAGGCUUUGCUGUGAGUCUAUGUUCAAUGAUGCUAUCACCACAUAUGUUGUAUUACAAUUACUCUUUAUACAUACUGUGAAAAAUAGAAACAGUAUACAAGGAAACAUUUCCUUUUAUUAAUCCCUUAUAGAUAUUAUUGCUGAAGCUGUCUAUUGAUGUGGCAGUUUUAUUAGUUAGAAAAUUGUAAGAGUACAUCCCUAUAAAGAGUAGCUCUUUGGAAUCAUAAAUUGGAAAUAAAGCAAUCUCUCCCUUGCCGCUUUUUCAUUUUGAUAAAUUAUAUUGAUGAGAAGUAUGAUAAAACAAAGUUUUCACAGUGGAAGGUUCUACUUGUAUUUUUAAGACACAAAUAAAUUACCUUGGUUUACUAGUGUGCUGCUACUUUUUGAGAAGUCUAGAUUGAUCAUAGGAGGCAGAAUGGUGUAAUGGUUUGGAGUUUAAAAAAUUAAAUUUGCUCUUUGUCUUCAAAAUUUACUCUAUGACAUUGAGCAAGGUAAUCAGCCUUUGUGAGUGUCAAUUUUCUGGUUUGUAAGACCAAUAAAAUGUUUACUGCCUUGAGGGUUUUGAUAGGUUUUUGGAGUGAUGUAAUGACACAUGAUCCUUUCCAAGUAGCAUAACUCAACUAGCAUAAAAUUCAUAUAUUAGAUUAGAUGGCUAGGAUGAAACCUACAUUACCACACAAAACAAAUUUGACUUUUUCUUCAUUGAAGUUCACCCUAUUCUUUAAGUGGCUAUAUUGUUCCAAAUUCCCUAAAAUACUGCAAGUUGAAAUAAAUACUGCCAUUGCAGUAGACAGAUAGAAAAGUUAUAGAUUAUGUUACUAUAUCCAAAGUAGUCUUAAUAAGAGUAAGAUUAAUCAUUAUUAAUGAUUUCCAAUAAUAAUUGUUAUUAGGCAUUUUGGUGUUGGGAACUCUUGAAGUUGCCAAAAAGAAGAAAAUAGAUAAUACCUGAAAGUAUGUUCCCUAAAUUUUCCACAAUUUUUGUAUUACAGAAUUCAAUUUAGGAGUAGAACAUAUGAUAGGAGAAAAUAACCCACAUUUUUGGUGUUAUAUAAUUUAGCCCAGACAUCCAUAGUGAAAUAUUGAAGAUGAGUACAAAACAAUCAGGUAAAGAUGAAGAUGUCAAUAAUCCAAGAUGAAAGAACAGCAUCCUUACAGGAUUGGAGACCAGAAGAAGAGUAGUAUUUUUUGGAUAUAGAAAGUAGGAUAUAGGAGCCAUGGUGAGAGAGGAUAAUAGAAGUGAGGCUAUUAGAUGAUUUAUAUGUCAUCCAUACAGAGGGUUGUGGCCCAUCAAAAUUUUAGUUUAGAAAUAUCAUUGUUGUGGUAGCUUGGAAAGUGGAAUAAAAUCAGAAGUGUAGAGACUACCUUAGAGGCAGUUUUAGGAAACCAUCAAAGAGAUGAUGGAAAACCCAAAAUAUUGGAUUAAUGGAAAAACUGAGGAAGUGAAAUUAACUAGAACUUUAUGACUGAUGAAAGAAGAGGAAAGCCACUAGCCUCUGGAUUGCUGUCUUUUUAGUUAUGCCAGUCUGAGACUCAGAAGAGACAUCUUUGGUUGGGACAUCAUUUUAGAAAGUAUUGGUGGUCUUAAUGUUAAAAUAAUAACUUAGUUGUGUUUACUUAGUACAGUUUUGAACACUUUGUAAUACAUAGAGAAAAGACUACUCUGUUGAUCUGCAAUGAUUUUUAAGUUUUAACUAAAUAUUAAAAUAUUUUGAAAUACAUCAAUGUAAGAUUCUUUCCUUCUAUAAUAUUUACUUUUAUAUUGUCACUAUAUCUUUAUAUUAGUAUUGAGUUAACAUAGAUUUCUUUAAUCGUAUUAUUCCUGUCCCCUCAUCUGCAGCAUGUAAUCUUUAAAGUUAAUAUGUUCUCAUUCAAAAGAUAACAUAUUCUAGGAAGAAGGAUAAUUAUGGUUAUUCUGACCAUGGAGUACAUUAAAUGUGCGUACACUUUACAUUUUAUGGAUUAAUUUUCCAAUAUUUUAAAUUAAUUUUGUAGGCCAAAGAAUAGCUAUGAAAGUUUCAUUUAUGGUGUUUUGGAUUAGAGGAACAGGCUGGGAGAAUGUGUGUGCAGGGAAAGCUGGGGUUUGUUUUGUGUUUGUUUUAGUCAGUGUACAGAUUAUAUAAUAACUUACUUGCUUGAACAAAUUUUCUGAAAAGGACUAUAUUAUUAACAAUGUGAAAUCUGACUCUUAUCUUUACAACACAUUUGGAAAACACCUACUUUCUGAACUAAAUUCGUAUGCUUUUAAAUUCCAUUAAGGAAUACAUUUGCAGGUUUCUCUCCAGGGUAUUACUGAGUUGUAUUUAUUAUGAUGAUCAGAAUAUAUAGCAAUUAAAAAUCUAACCAUCUGUGAUAAACCAUUUGAGAAAUCCAAGACUCUAAAAAAGAUAAAUACCUUUUGACAUAUUAAACUUUUGACACAUGUAUAGGAACCACAUACAACUAUACAAAAAAUUUUUUUAAUUAUUUUAUACAGUUUUAGGAUAAACAGGACAAAUUUAUCUUACUAAGUUAAGACAAACAUAGUACUAUUAAACACUGUCCUUAAAAAAAAGGACGCAAGAUCUGUGUCCAUUUGUUUAUUUACUAUUUUUAUUUUAUAAUUAUUUAAAAAUUAAUUUUUGGCUAGGUAUGGUGGCACAUGGCUGUAAUCCCAACACUUUGUGAGGCUGAGGCUGGAGGAUCUUUUAACCCCAGGAGUUAGAGACCAACCUGGGCAACAUGAAGACCCAGGCACCAGUAUUCUUUUAUGUACUCAGCCUUCAUUUUUCUCAUAUGGAUGGACAGCUUAUUACUUCAAGCAAUUACAACUCUGCCUGAUAAAUUCCUAUGCUGGCAAGAAUGUGAGAAGAGGCUAGAAGUAUGGGGAAUUAAGUACUCCUCAUCUCCUACCCUGACUCACCUUCCUCAACCACAGUCAUCAAAGAGUGAUUAAUGGAGCUUUGGUAAAUAAAGUACUCAAUCUGUGAAGUGUGUUCUCACAGUGUCCCACACCUCCCCGAGGGGCUCACCUGCCCACAGCAGUGCUCUCUGCUCUUCAGUCCACCUAGAUACUCUCUUCUCUUUGAUCUUGAAGCCUCCUUAUCCUGACCCAUCAUUCUUGGAACCACUAACCUAUAAAGUAAUUGCAAAUCAGACUCCUGUUUCAGGGUCUGUUUCUGAGGAUCCUCAACUUCAGACACUGUAAAUUUUUUUCAUGGUAAUGGUAAGGAAAAUGCAUUAUUUUAUCUGAAAUAUUCAUUUUGUAAUCUUUUCAUUAAUUAUCCAAUUGUUGAACAGAAAAAAAUUGCUUAUUACUUUAAAAAAUGCACACACAUAUUAAUAUCUGUUUAGAAUCAUAGAUUUCUGGCAAGUCAGCGUAUCCAUAAUGUAAACAGAUUUUUCUAACAAAAAAAAAUAGCUUUAGAGUUUCCCUCAACCUUAUUCAUCCUUAUAUUUCAUACAUUUUAAUACAACUUUUUUGUUAUCUGGCUCCCAAGCCCACUGCAACUAGGAGCUUCAAAUUAGAAUUGAAGAGAAAGUGUGCUAGUGCUAAAAAGACAAAAAAAAAUCAAAUGCAAAAAAAUUCAGGAAACAAAUCAUUUUACAACCCCAUCAUCUAGAACAAAGCUGAUACAUCUAGUUCGGCCUAUACAUAAAUAAAUUAAUAUUCAUAAUUUUGAUUCUAGAAUAUUAAGAAAAUCUUCAGUGAUGUUUAGAAUUAUUUUUUUAAGAAAUUUAAAAUGUUUAAUAUUUUUAAUGGCAAAUAAAAAUGUAUUGCUCCAACAACCCAUGCUCACCCCCAAAAAAUCACAUGGCAGAACUCAUUUUAAAAAUGCAAAUAUCUAAGAGAAACAUAAUCUAAACUGAAAUUUUGACAGUUGGACUUUACAAAAUGAAUGUUUUCUUUAUUCAUGUAUAAAAAUGGAUGCGUAAAGGAAUCCACAUAGGAAAGUAAAUAGUUACAUAUCUUUAGAAAGUAAGUCAUUUCAAAUUGUUAAAACAUUGAAAUGAGAAAAUAUGUUUUGUCUGAAAUAAUGGUUUUUUUCUAAUUUAUAGAACAAAUUGUUGCCUUUACUAAAAGCUCAAAAGAUCAAAGGAAGAUAAGUAGGGAUUUUAAAAUUUCUCACUAAAAUAUAUAUAUAUAAUAUGCAAAUUAAGAAGAAAGUUUAUCUAAGAAAAGGUUUAUAAAUAGAGCAAACAAUAAAGAGAUAAUUUGCAAAUUAACCAUAUUUUUAUUUCUUACAUCAUGUUAUAUACAUGCUGGAUCAACCUGUCAGUGGCAUUCAAAACAAAAUUGUGGAAACAUGUUAUUAAAAUAAGUAUUAAAUAUACUGAGUUCUAAUCUACAACUAUGCCCAGAAACAAUAAAAUGAGUCUAGUAUAGAAAAUUGUUCCUUUUUAUGCUCAAUAUUUUCAUGUUUAAUAAUAAACAUAUAUUAUUUUUCUCAUGUUUGAUGUCUUUUAAUAUAAUUCAGUAACUAAAUUCUCUUUCAAAUCCUGUAGGUUUUUGCAGAUACAUUUGGGAAAUCAUUUACCAUAGUUUCUGAAUCCUUACAGUGACUUUGGAGCAAUACUGUUUUAAUUAUCCAUAAAAUUUUUUAUUAUUUUGCCUAAAAUAGAAACACCACAAGAGGAUGUGAUGCUUUAGCUGUUUGUUCUGAACAUAUUUUGGAAAAAGAAGACAAUGAUUAUGUGUUUACACAUACAGAUGUCAGUUUAUAUAUUUCAGAUUUAGUUGAAAUUAAGUGCAUAUGUGAACAGAUUUUAAAUUUGUUUCCACACUUUCUCUUCUGAUACAUUCAUGUGAAAGUAUGAUAGCUUUCAUUGCCAUGUAUAUUUUUAAUAUAGUGAACUUUUUCAAACUAUUUGAUUAUCAUUCCAUUAGCCUUCAAAACCAGAAUCUUACUUUGUCUCCUGUAAAAUAAAGGAAUUUGUUCUAGGGCCUCUGUGAUUUCUUUUAAUGCGGUGAUUCAGAGUGUCCAGAUCACAAUAAGCUCCUUGAACCUGAGCACCAACUAUCUAUUGGUGAUGCCCUUACCUGUCACUUGGACUCUUUUCUUCUUCAUUCCAAUCCUUUGUGGUUAGUGAACUGUUUCACAUAUGGAGUCCUUCUUAAUACAUAAAAGAGACCCAAAGUUUUUAUUUCUUGAUUUAUAUAUGUCUCAUGUUCAUAUCUAAGUAUAAACUCCCAGAAGCAGAAACUAAUUUAGUAUUCUCCCUUUUUUGGAGGAUUAGUAUUCUCUCUUGUUCCUAGCACAAUACUUUGUGGAGAGCAGACUAUUAGCACAUAUGAUGAAUAUGUAUGUAUUAAUUGAUUUAAUUGCUUGGUUGAUAAUUAUGUGUUGCAGCUAAUAAGUUUCUUCCUUUCAAACUCUUCAGUAACAAUCCAAAUAUAUGAACUGGGCAAAUCUGAAAUUUAUUUGUUUUAAAGGCUAUCAUUAUGGCAUAAUUUUUAUUUUUUUCAUUGAACCUUGCUAAAAAAUCGACCUAGAAUAGUCCUCUAAUGUUAACUGUUUCCUCAGAGAUUUCUUAUACAAAUUAUGUAUAGAUGCAUAGCAAUACUGCUUGCUUUAAAUAACUGAAUUUUGUUUUGUUUUUUGGGUUUUUGUUUUUUUACAGCUGUGAAUUUUUUUUAAUCAGUGCAAACAAAAUAAGAUAAUAUUUAUAAUAAGAAAUGCUUUAAUAAAGUUCCUGGUCCUUCAAGUACAGAAAGUGAAGAAUAAAAUUGUCCCUGUAUCCUGCAGGAAAAUUAUCUCUGUUGGUAGCCUGCAAGUAAUUUAGGAAAUACAUGCUCCACUAGUUGUAUGGUAGAGCUGGUUGCCUGGGAUAAGGUACAAUAUUUAAAAUUUGUUUAUGCUUCAAUCAUUUUUUAAAAAAUAUUCAUAAUUCAGAGAGCUGACAGCAGAGAAGGCACUGUUUAUCUGCAAUUAUGCAAUAUUUGAAUUAAAUGAUAAAUAACAAGAAAAAGUAAAGACUAUUUAUUUUUCAGCUCAGUGAUUCUCAAAUUUCAGUAUAGACAACAACCCCAUGGGGUUCAUAUUACCAAUUCCUUGGAAGUAUUCUAGGCCUACACAUUAGAAAUCUCUGUGUGUGGAUUCCAGGAAUAUGCAUUUUUAAAAGACUUCUGCUCAGUCUAAGCCAGUGAGGAUUCAAAACAAAUUUGAAACUUACUCUUGAAGUUCCCUUAGGAUAAGAUUGGUCAUGGUUCAAGGCAUAAAAUAGACAUGCAAUAGACACUUGAAAGGUUGAAGUCUAAAUAUGAUUAACCUGUAAAAUGUGUUGAAAUUCUAAAACUAUAACUUUUUCCACAUCACUUAAACAGUCUCAUUUUCUUUAACUAUUAAAAUAAGUUAUGACAGUUGUUCUUACGUAAAUAUUGUUUAAUGAAUUUUAGUUUCACAAUAUGGAUGGUGCAUACAGAUUUCUACUGAAAAUUAACAUAAUUUUCAGUAGAAAAGAAUGGCAGUGCUUUUUCUUACUUUUUUCAUUCACUGUCAAUUAUUCCUCGAUUAGACUCAUAAAUAAUUUAUAUAAAGUUCAAUCUCUCCAGUUAUCAUUAUCAUUAGCUCUUGAAUUAAAACUGCUUCUUCUAUAUAUUAACAUAAUAUAUGACCCAAGAAUUGUGAGUCAUAGCAACAUUUAUCAAAGUGAAAUUGCUAGCCAAAUAAUAAAUAUUUAGACAAAAUUUAAUGAACUAGCUUACUGCUAAUUCAUAUGUAUUUUGAAUACUUCCUGUAGGUCCACAUUUUCUUGAUCAUGAGUAAUUACACAUAAUUAUAUGUCUAUAGAGAAAAAACUUAAUCUUUAUUUUUAUGCUUCCUUGAAAUGUGUAUAUGGUCUCAAAAUCAUUAUAUUGCUGAUUUUUAAAUUUCUAUCUUCCAUUAUGCAAAAUAAAUGACCAAAAUAUCCAUAUGUAUAUAAUUCCUUUCUUUCUCUUCAAAUAAUUUAUGACUUUGGGUACAUCUCUUCACUUUUUGCUCUGAAACUAAAAGCAUAAUUGUUUUGAACUAGUUAUCUCUAAACCCAUCUCCAAUACCAUUUUGUAAAUUAAUGUCAGCCUACUGCAAUUGUGAAACAUCUGCCAACUUAGUUAUUUGUUCCUUUUUUCACUUAGUCAGCAGCUACUAGGUCCCAAGUACUAGAUUUAAAAAGUGGAUGACACAAGAGCUAAACUAAAUAGCAAAGUAUAUGUAAAGACAUUAAUUAUUUUACUGCAUACACCAAUAAUCAAGCCAAAAAAUAAAAACCAUUACUCUGCUCCAAGACUAAAAAAGCCAAUAAAUGAAAAUUUUCUUCAUAAUUUUUUCUUUAGAAAUGCAAAAUCCACUCAUUUAUUCAACAUACAUAUAGAAAGUUUUUAUCUUAUACCAGGUUCUGUGGUAGGCCAUCAAGAUACACAAAUAAGACAGUGACUGUCUAUAGGGAGUUCAAACCUAAUGAUAGGAACACAUGUACAUGAGAAAUUAAUACAUAUUUUAAUGUAAAAAAUAAAUAUAUCUCGAAUACUCCACUAAGGUAAUAUUAUACUUAUGAUGUUGAUUAAACUAUUUAUGAUUUAUAUGUUAUAGAUACAAAGUGACGCAACAUCCCAUCUAGCUGGGGACACAAACACAUGCACACAAUACACACAUGCUCACUUGUAAUACUUAAACAUAAAUAAUAAAGUGAGAGGAGAGGAAACUAAAUUUUUUGGUUUUGUAAUUUGUACAAAGCAUGAAUUAUGUGGUUUAUGUAAAUCACAUUUAAUCAAAACCAAUCAGUAAAUAUGAGCAAUAUUAGUAAUUAUUUUAUGAUGAGGAAAGUUAGAUUCAGAGAGACCAAGUACCUUCUGCAAAAACUAAUAUAAUCAUAGUUCAAACAUAAGUCUGACUUGUUGUCACAGAUGUGCUUUCCAUAAUUUUGCACUAUGUUAACAGUGUGAAUUAGAUUAAAAAUAAAAGAAAGAAAGCAGGUGACACAGUAAAACUUUCUGCAGGAUUUAAAUGAUGUGCUUUACAUGGGAUUUAAAGAAGUUGUAGUAGACAUGAAAGAAACAGAAUGUGAGUGAAAUUUGAUGGAUGAAUGUGAUUUGAUAUACGAGCUACCAUUGCAUAUGUAUAAUUAGUGCAGUUGUGGUAUUCUUUGAAGAUUGAGCAUAAUUACUAAAAUAGCCUUUUAUCUAUAGAAAGGACACUUAUCGGCUGAGAAAGAAUGAAUAUUUGGAAAGGAAUGAACAUGUGGAAAAUAAUGAAUAAAUCAAUUUUCCAUAACGUUGGAUUAUAAACAUUUCUGUGUGUAAGAUACAUAGAGCAAGUAUUAAAAAUGCAAAUUACCCAGACUUUCUGGAGUCCAACUCAUCAGCAUCUCUCCGAGUAAGACCCUGGAAUUUUUGUUUUAAUAAACACGAUAGAGGCUUUUGAUACAGGUGGUUUGAAAACUAUUGCUUGAGAAGCAUUAGCUCGAAAGGGAAUGAUAAUCGUAGUGAAAGACAGUAUAUGAAUGGAUGAUAGAUAGAUGAAAUCAUUGAUUUUGGACACAAAUUUGAGGGGAUAGCCAUAAAAUAUUGUGUUUUUUUAAAAUAAUGGGAUUUGCAAAGUAAUGUGUUUUAAAUGCUAAUGGAAGAUGACUAUACAAUCCUCUAUAUGAUGUUAAUAAGAACUAACUAAAAUAAAAUAGAGCUUUCUAUUGCUUUCCCAAGACAUAUGAAUUCUAUAAUAAUAAUAGCAGCUAAUAUUUAACUAGCCCAAAAUAUGAGUUAAAUACUAUUCAGCAUGUUACAUAGGUAAAUUACUGAAGAUAACAGCAAUCCAAUGAGUUAUAUCUCAUAAGUAUCUCACUGUUACAGAUUAGACAACUGAGAAGAAGUGGCUAGGUGAUUUGCCCCCAAAUGAUUGGAAAGUGGCAUGAUUACAGAGUCCAUGAACUUCAUUGAUAUAAGACAUACAGAAAUAUGUCCACAAAUAAUGGGAAAAUAAAUGUAAAUUCACUUAAGUGACUGGAAAAACCCAUAACCAGUGUCAACUGUCAAGUGAAUUAGAAAAACGGAAUGAAUAAUGACUGAGCAUAUAUAAUUCUGCUGAUGGUGUGGAUUUACUGAUACGUAUGUGACAUUUGUCCCACAAAUAAAUACGGAGAGGAGUGAACUUUUUAAAACACAUUAAAUAUAUCUUUGGGGAAUUUAUGACAAACUUUUCUUAAAAUAGGUUACUUGGAUUGUUCUACUUACACCCUUACAUAGCACCCAUCCUAACAGUACCAGUUUAGCAUACAAAUGACAAGACUUGCAGUAAAGCUACUCUUUUGAAAAAACAAAGGCAAAAGCAAAACACAAUGCUUACUGCAUUGUCAUAAGUAGACAUUUAAAUAAAACAUCAAAUUUAUUUAUUUAUUCAGAAUAAAUAAAAAGCUUAACGAAGAAACCACUUAACAUAUGAGUUGAAAACUUUAAAAUAUAUGUCAAUUGGGGUGCCCAAGGCUGUUAACCAUCAAAAGUUGAAAGUGUGCUGUUUACGUAAAUUAAUGGAAUUUUUAAAUAUGGUCAGGAAUAAUUAUAUAUCUGAGAGAUAAUAUGUUCAAUAAAAUGAACUAUGCAGAUGAAAUUGUGCUGUCUGGAAAGAUCUCAAAUAUAUAACUUACUAGAUAAGUAACUCUAAGCAUAAACUAGCUCUGUUUCAGUUUGCCUUUAUAUAAAAAGGAAUAUUACAACAUACCUGAUAUAGUUAUUCUUAAAACAAAAUGUGCUAAUGCAGGUCGGAGAGUUCUGAAUCAACAUAAGCUCGCCACACCUAUUUAGCUAUUUUCAUCAUCAUUAUCUCUGAAAACAUAAAUGAAAUAAUAUAGGCAAAACUUUUUUAAAUGAUAGUUCUUCAUCUUAUUAUUUAUAUAGUAAACCAUGUACAAUGUAAACUAUUAAAAGUGUAAAACCUCAAUAUAUAAAACUCCUAGAAGAAACAUAAACAAAAUCCUUCAUGACCUUGGGGUGGACAAAAGCUUCUUAAAUGGAAAAUCUAAGGCAUGAAACAUAAAAGAAAAUUUUGAUAAAUUGAAUUUCAUCAAAAGUAAAUACUUUUGCUCUUCACGGGUCAUCAGUAAGAAAAUGAAUAACAGAGUCAUAGAAUGGGAGAAAAUAUUCACUUCAUGCAUAACUGACAAAGAACUUGUAUUGAGAACUCUUAGAAGUCAACAAAGAGGCAAUCAACAAUAUAAAAAUAGUCAAACUCUUUAAGAAACAAUUCAUGAAAGAUCAUUAUGAAUAGCCAAAUGCACAUCAAAAAUCUUAACAUCAUCACUCAUCACAGAAAUGCAAAUUAAAACCAUGAUACCCUUACACACCCAUUAGACUGGCUAAAGUUAAAAAGACUGAUUGUUAUACUACUGACGGGAAUGUAAAAUGAUACUAGUACUUUUAAAAAUUGUUUGACAGCUUUUUUUAAAAAGUGAAAGUUAUACCUGUCAUAUAAUCUAGCCAGGAACAGCUAUGUUAUUGGUAGGACCCAUUGCACAAUGAAUGUAUAAAAUAUAAAAAAUUAAAUGUAAUAUACACAUAUAAUAAAUUUAUUUUCAAGUCUCUCAAGUAAUACCAUGUAUUGUCUCUUGUACUCUCAGUUUUGUUCUAAGAACAUAACAUUUUAUUUCAGUUGAAGAAAUAGUUGUUUUUUGUUCGGAAUCUAGAAAUUAAAUAAUGUCUGUAAUUUUAUUACAAACUCUCAUACUCUGUUUAAGGUGUGAUUUUGCAGAUCCAUGGCACAGGAACACGGAAAUCUUUAUUGCAUUUGUCAUAAGUUACUUCUAUCUUUAUAGCAAUACAAAGGAGCUCCUUAGCUCAGGGUUGAAUAAUUAAGAAUUACUAAAUCUGAAACUUGGAAUAGGAUGAAUGACAUGACACUUAACUUCAUGGAUAUUUGAGAUGCAUAUUUAAUUUCUAAAUAAAAAAGAAGAUGUAAAUUUCCUUAACAAGUGAAUUUAUCUCUGCUGGGAUCAUAUUCUCUGCUUUAUUCAUCAUUUUGUUUCUUUAUUAUCCCAUGAUUAUUUUUUAUGCCCGCUGCCACAUGCGUUAUGGGAAAAACAAAAUAAAUGAACACCAAACAAAAACACACAUUCACCGUCUCUUUAUUGGACUAAGGUUGAGUUUCAGUUACUAGCUAUCACUGACUAUAUUUCUAGGGAUUCAAUUCCUGUUCCUACUUGACGCUGCAUAAGUUAUCAACAUUCCUAAACAAGAAAUGAGCUCUACUUUUAUGAUGGCUCUCAAAAAUAUCAACUAUAGCUCUCCGUAUCUCUGUGUUUUUUCUUGCUUAGAAAUGCUUAGCUUUUCUGAGACCUAGGAUGUGCUGCUGCCUAGGUUUAUGGCUCACCCUAUCUGUCAUCCAAAAAA
rnacentral:lncRNA from 1 species